AUACUCACUUCAGCAGCACAUAUACUAAAAUUGGAACAAUACAGAGAAUAUUAGCAUGGUCCCUGCACAAGGAUGACAUGCAGCUUUGUGAAGCCUUCCAUAUUUUU
rnacentral:snRNA from 1 species